rnacentral:tRNA from 1 species
GCCGGAGUAGCUCAGCUGGUAGAGCAAGCGAUUUGUAAUCGCUAGGCCGUGGGUUCGAGUCCCUCCUCCGGCU